CUCUCUCUCUCUCUCUCUCUCUCUCUCACUUGAACGGAGGCGACGAGAAGUGAUCGGCGUCGGCAACAGUGGUGGCUACUAGCUAGCGACGAUCGGCGAUCGACGACAGUGGCGGCAAGCGAUCAAAGCAUCGAUUAGGAGAUGGUGAGAACUUCAUGGCAUGACUCAUCCAUGAAUGACAUGUUGCUACUGUCCCAGGCUGUUGUAUGUUUGAAAUAGUUGCACACCAACCUGCAUUUUGAGCUCCUCUUCACCACUAAUCUCCUUCGCCAUCACCGCCAUCACCACUAUGACCUCUUAUCCAUCACCUUCACCACUACUGCCGCUCUCUCUCCUCUACCACAAAAUUAGUUCCUGAUUUUUAGUAACAAAAAAAAAGGGGUCGCAGAAAAAUAUUUUUCAUUGAUCACAAAAAAU